UACGUAGGGUGCGAGCGUUAAUCGGAAUUACUGGGCGUAAAGCGUGCGCAGGCGGUUUUGUAAGCCAGGUGUGAAAUCCCCGGGCUCAACCUGGGAAUGGCAUUUGGGACUGCAAGGCUGGAGUGCGGCAGAGGAGACUGGAAUUCCUGGUGUAGCAGUGAAAUGCGUAGAUAUCAGGAGGAAUACCGAUGCGAAGGCAGGUCUCUGGGCUGACACUGACGCUCAUGCACGAAAGCGUGGG
rnacentral:rRNA from 1 species